GUUUACGUCACUUCCGGUCGCCAUCUUGAUUGGGAUGAGAAAAUUUGCACCAACUGAAUGAUUUUUCAGGCGAAGAAUAACCUUUUCGUUUUAAACUGUAAUCCAUUGACCGUCAUCUUAAAGAUUGUGUAUGAAAAGGAGCCUGAAAGACUCACAAUCAGCUGAUGAAGCAGAACGGAUACAGCUUACAUCCAACUAGCUUCAUGGCUUUUGAGGAUGUUUAAUUUUCCAACCAGCUCACAGUGAUAAAACAUCUUUCUGCUACAGGAUUGAUGACGUGAACCUGGUUCUGGUAGUCGGUGGCACACCAGUGGAGAUCAAGGGAGACAUUACCAACAAUUGAACAAUUGUUGCCACUGGGCAGUCAAGGCACCUUCCACAUGAGCAGCACAACAGUACAGCUAAGCCAAUACCUGGCGCUGGCAGCUCCAACUUUGCCCUCCGGAGCUCCGUCAUGGACGCCUGAAGCUGCUCGAUCACAAAGUCGUCCUCAAAGAAGAAAUCUUUGGCUAACGUGACCUGCAGAAACUCCACCAGCUCCUCCAUGGACAGCUUCAUCAGAAGCUGGAUGUACUCACUCUGUCCAGGAAGCACUGGAAGAACCACUUCAUGGUGUACAGGCUGAUGCUGCUUCAGUUUGGGCAUCGUCUUCUUGAGGAUCCGGUCGUGGUGUUCCUGGAAACGCAUCAACUUUGGGAAACCGGGGAUGAAAAACCCUGAAGGUUUUCUUCCAGGUUCAUCCUAGACUGGGUUCCAUUCAGAUUUCCAGAUCCUGCUGAAGAAAAGCAUCUCCUCAGCAUGAUGCUGCCACCACCAUGUUUCAUGGUCCUGUGGACAGAUUCUUCUACCUAAGCUGUGGAUCUCCUGGUCCAGCCUGUCAGUUUAGGUGGACGUCCAUGUCUUGAUAGAUCUGCAGGUAGUCCAUCCUCUCUCCGUGUUCAGAUGAAGUAUUGAACGGAGCUCUGUGAGAUGUCUCAGGGAUAUUGUUUUAGAACCUAACCGUGCUUUAAACUGAACCAGAACUUUUUCUCUAACAAACAGAAACAGAACAUCUGCAGUUAGACUCAAAUUAAAUUACACACAGCUGGACUCUGAAGGCUGCUGGUUGGGCCAUACUUAUAACAUCUUCAAUCCAUGUGUUGUUUUCUUCACAGUCAUUUUCUACUUUAUGUUUGGGAGUCAAAUAAAAUCGUAUUAAAAUCUAAUGAAGUUUGUGGUAAAACUUGUUUCUCCUUUAGACCAGAUUCAUCUGCUUCAUAAAAGCUGCUUCGUGUAUUUUUUGUGGCCAAACUCUUUACAUCUCCACCCGAGCAGCAAUGAAUCGGAUCUCACAGACCAAACGUUCUAAUGAGUCAGAUUUAGAACAGGGUGAUGAACAUUGCAGCGCUGCACAGUCUAGCCUCCAAGCAGACAUCAGUAUCAC